GUCGAGAAUAAUUCACAAUGGGGGAAACCCUGAUGGUGCAACGCCGCGUGGAGGAUGAAGGUCUUCGGAUUGUAAACUCCUGUCAUCCGAGAGUAAGACCUGGCGGUAAAUAGCCGACAGGGUUGAUAGUAUCGGAAGAGGAAGGGACGGCUAACUUCGUGCCAGCAGCCGCGGUAAUACGAAGGUCCCAAGCGUUGUUCGGAAUCACUGGGCGUAAAGGGAGCGUAGGCGGCAUGGUAAGUCAGGUGUGAAAUCCCGGGGCUCAACCCCGGAACUGCACCCGAUACUGCCAUGCUAGAGGGUUGGAGAGGUGACUGGAAUUCUCGGUGUAGCAGUGAAAUGCGUGGAUAUCGAGAGGAACACUCGUGGCGAAGGCGAGUCACUGGACAACAUCUGACGCUGAGGCUCGAAGGCUAGGGGAGCAAAAGGGAUUAGAUACCCGGGUAGUCC
rnacentral:rRNA from 1 species